GAUGAACGCUGGCGGCGUGCCUAAUACAUGCAAGUCGAGCGAAGCGAGGAAGGGUGAGGAACACGGGGAUAACUUCCUAUAGGACGGGCAUAACGACGGGAAAGCGGAGCUAGAAACGAUACAUAUAGAUGGAUACGCGCUGCAUUGGCGAGUUGGGAAGGAACCGGCUUAACAAGGCAACGAUCCAUAGCCGACCUGAGGGGGUGAGCGGCCACACUGGAAUUGAGACACGGUCCAGAAUCCUACGGGAGGCAGCAGUAGGGAAUCUUCCGCAAUUGGCGAAAGCCUGACGCAGCAACGCCGCGUGAGUGAUGAAGGUCUUCGGAUCGUAAACCUCUGUUAUUAGGGAAGCGGUACCUAAUCAGAAAGCCACGGCUAACUACGUGCCAGCAGCCGCGGUAAUUC
rnacentral:rRNA from 1 species